UGGGGAAUCUUGCACAAUGGGGGAAACCCUGAUGCAGCGACGCCGCGUGAGCGAUGAAGGUUUUCGAAUCGUAAAGCUCUGUCCUAUGGGAAGAUAAUGACGGUACCAUGGGAGGAAGCCCCGGCUAACUACGUGCCAGCAGCCGCGGUAAUACGUAGGGGGCGAGCGUUGUCCGGAAUUACUGGGCGUAAAGGGUUCGCAGGCGGCAUGGCAAGUCCGAUGUAAAAGGCGAAGGCUCAACCUUCGUAAGCAUCGGAAACUGUCAAGCUUGAGUGAAGGAGAGGCAAGUGGAAUUCCUAGUGUAGCGGUGGAAUGCGUAGAUAUUAGGAGGAAUACCGGUGGCGAAGGCGACUUGCUGGACUUCAACUGACGCUGAGGAACGAAAGCGUGGGUAGCAGACAGG
rnacentral:rRNA from 1 species